UCCUCUCAUCACUCUCAGAACUAACUCUCAUGUCCUCUCUCUCACUCUCAGUCACCGAAAAUCUCUCCACCAUUCUAGAAAUCGCCUCCGAUGGUGGCGGGGCCCGAAACACCACAAAAACACCACCACCGAACUUGUCUUCCUCUCAUUUAUUUAUCCUCAUACUUUGAUUAUCAUAUAACUCAACCUAAUCACUGAAACCUUAUCCUAAUCAUAAACCCUAAAGAAUUUUAGAAAUCAAAUUGAAUAGUCAUGGAGCUCGGGUUCAAGCUAUGGACUCGGGGCUUCUUUUCAACACAUCAAACACAAUAAUAUGGUAACUAGGUUUUGAAGAAAAGAUGAAGGAUUGAAGAUUUACCAACGAAGAUGAGAUGUGCCUUGGUGAGUGUUGCAAGGAGCUCGAAGCUGAUAAGUAAGAAACCCAUAGAGGAUACUCCAACUAAGAUAAGUACUUUUGAACUCUUAUUUAUGUGAAUGUCUUCUUCCCUUCCACCUUUUAUUCUUAUUUUUUAUUUUGUAUGGACUGUGAAAUCUUGUGUGAAUUGUUGUUAUUGAUGUAUUAGGAAAGAGAUUAGGUUAAAAUUUGCAGAGGGCUGAGUCUUAAACAAGGUGAGAAAAUUGAAUUAGGGUUGAUGAGGGGCCUAUAUCAAUUGAUUCAAAGCUUCAAUGUGAAGCUCUAAUCAAUGGUUGAAUGAGAGUUUUUGUGAGGGUUUUUGAGGUUAUGAAAUACUUGUGCCUAGUUUUGGUAGGGUGAAUGUGACUUGUUGAUGAAAUAAGAGAUGUAAUGAUUAUAUAGGUGAGAGGUGGUAGAAAUUAGUAGGGAAAUAUGGUUAGAAGUUAGUUAGAAAAUGAUUGAUUGUGAGCCUUUGGAUAGUGAUCCAAGUGUCACAUUAAUCAAGGGUUAGAAAUGUUUAAGAAGUUAGUUAGGUUUUGGUUAAUUGGAGUGAAGAAAAUUGAGAGGAUUAUGUGUGUUUUCAACUGAGUUUAAUGUAAAAAUAGGGAUGGAAGUGUUUGUUUGGAAUUUAGAAACUAGUUAGGGUUUAAAACCAACUUUGGAGGGAAUUUUGAAAUGCAGUGGCAAUUUAGUAAUUGGCUAAGUGCCAUGUGGAAUUGCCUGUUAGAGUAAUUAGGGUUUGUUAUAUGGUAGUUAGAAGUUAGUAGGUUAAAUUGAGGCGUAAGUUAAGUACAAGGUGAAUGGUUAGUUAGUUAUGUUUUAAGGUAUUUAACAACUAACUUGGGCAAUUUGGUUAGGGCAUUGGGACAAUUAGCUAGGGGAGGUGGUUAUGGAAGUUAAGAGUUUGCUACUUAGAGGUUAAGGUAGUUAGAUUGGUUACAAGGGAUUGAGGUAGCACUUAGGGUAGUGCAUGUAUGUGUACUUAUAUGACAUGGUUGUAUGGUUGACUUUGAUGUUGUGAUAAACUUGAUGUGUAUGAUUGACUACUUAGUUUAGGUUGUGUAUGCUGAAUCAUGCUUGUUCAUGUUCGUGAUGAGUAACAAAAAUCAUGCCAAGUCUUGAGUGUCUUGUUUGUGAUGUUGCAUUUCACAUACUUUGGCAUGGCUUGAAGGGUGCAAUUUGGAUUCUAAAUGGUUAGGAUGAUGGUUAUGAUAAUGUUGUGAGUUGUAUGCAUGACCUGCUAUGAAUGUUUGAUAGUGAUGCAUGCAUCUAGUGUUUGUAGGUCUGGUACAAAUUAUGGAUUGUGCAUGACUUUGAUGUACACUGAAUGUAUGCAGACUUAGUUUGUUGUGUAUACACCUGUCAUGAAAUUGCAACAUGGUUGCAUCCAGUUCUUGAUCAUUGCAAUGUGAUGAUGGAUAUUGUUGGUCUUGACUGGAGGUUUGAGCAUAGGGUUUAAUAGGUCAUUUGGUGCAGGAAUUGUUGUUGUUUUCGUGAUUGAUGCAGGUACUGUAACAUAGCAGGUUCGAUGGUGCAUUUUGGUGGUUGGACAUGGUGGUGCAUACAUGGUUUUGGACAUGGGAUGGACAAGAUUCGGCAUAAUUUGACAUGAGGUUUUGGGGAAGCUGAAGAGGAAUGUAGAUGCAAUAUGAAGAGGAAUAGGUCUAGAGUUAUAGGUUUGACUUUGGUCAACUGUUUGACCAAAAGUCAACUAUAGGUCAAAUUUUAGGUUUUCUUUGUUAUUCCAAUUCUGGUUCUUUUUGAAAUGUAUUUGAAUUUUUGAAUGUGAACUUUGACUUGGUAUGGUUGUAA